GGUUCGAUCAUGGCUCAGAUUGAACGCUGGCGGGAUGCUUUACACAUGCAAGUCGAACGGCAGCACGGACUUCGGUCUGGUGGCGAGUGGCGAACAGGUGAGUAAUGUAUCGGAACGUGCCUAAUGCUUGAGGGAUAACUACGCGAAAGCGUAGCUAAUACCACAUACGCCCUUCGGGGAAAGCGGGGGGACCUUCGGGCCUCGCACUAUUAGAGCGGCCGAUAUCGGAUUAGCUAGUUGGUGGGAGUAACGGCUCACCAAGGCGACGAUCCGUAGCUGGUUUGAAGGACGACCAGCCACACUGGGACUGAGACACGGCCCAGACUCCUACGGGAGGCAGCAGUGGGGGAAUUUUGGACAAUGGGGAAACCCUGAUCCAGCCAUCCCGCGUGCGAUGAAGGCCUUCGGGUUGUAAAGCACUUUUGGCAGGAAAGAAACGGCACGGGAUAAUACCCCGUGCAACUGACGGUACCUGCAGAAUAAGCACCGGCUAACUACGUGCCAGCAACCGCGGUAAUACGUAGGGUGCAAGCGUUAAUCGGAAUUACUGGGCGUAAAGCGUGCGCAGGCGGUUCGGAAGAAAGAUGUGAAAUCCCAGAGCUUAACUUUGGAACUGCAUUUUAACUACCGAGCUAGAGUGUGUCAGAGGGAGGUGGAAUUCCGCGUGUAGCAGUGAAAUGCGUAGAUAUGCGGAGGAACACCGAUGGCGAAGGCGCAACCUCCUGGGAUAACGCUGACGCUCAUGCACGAAAGCGUGGGGAGCAAACGGGAUUAGAUACCCUGGUAGUCCACGCCCUAAACGAUGUCAACUGCUGUUGGGGCCUUCGGGCCUUGGUAGCGCAGCUAACGCGUGAGUUGGCCAUGGGAAGUACGGUCGCAAGAUUAAAACUCAAAGGAAUUGACGGGGACCCGCACAAGCGGUGGAUGAUGUGGAUUAAUUCGAUGCAACGCGAAAAACCUUACCUACCCUUGACAUGUCACGAAUCCCGAAGAGAUUUGGGAGUGCUCGCAAGAGAACCGGAACACAGGUGCUGCAUGGCUGUCGUCAGCUCGUGUCGUGAGAUGUUGGGUUAAGUCCCGCAACGAGCGCAACCCUUGUCAUUAGUUGCUACGAAAGGGCACUCUAAUGAGACUGCCGGUGACAAACCGGAGGAAGGUGGGGAUGACGUCAAGUCCUCAUGGCCCUUAUGGGUAGGGCUUCACACGUCAUACAAUGGUGGGACAGAGGGUCGCCAACCCGCGAGGGGGGGCAAUCCCAGAAACCCGAUCGUAGUCCGGAUCGCAGUCUGCAACUCGACUGCGUGAAGUCGGAAUCGCUAGUAAUCGCGGAUCAGCAUGUCGCGGUGAAUACGUUCCAGGUCUUGUACACACACCAUGGGAGUGGGUUUUACCAGAAGUAGUUAGCUUCGCCGUAAGGAGGGCGAUUACCACGGUAGGAUUCAUGACUGGGGGUGAAGUCGUAACAAGGUAG
rnacentral:rRNA from 1 species